GUUGUCUUUCUGUAUAUGUUUUAUCUUAUUGGUUGAUGAAUAAAGCACUGUUGGCCAAUAGGCAGCAAGAUAGGCGGGUCUAGGAGAUGAGAAUUCUGGGAAGUGUAAGCAGAGAGCAGUUGUCAUGUGAUCCCAGGAGAAGUCAGGUGUUCUUUGGUAAGAUAAGACCAUGUAGAAAUACUUAGAUUAAUAGAAAUGGGUUAAUAAUUAAGACAGAGCUAGCCAAUAAGAAGCCCAAGCCAACAGCCAACAGUUUCAUAAUUAAUUCAACAUCUGCAUCUUUAUUUGGGGAUCAAGGGCCAUGGGACCUGCUGGGACAAAGAACCUUUUGUAACAGUGACAUCAUUUUCUAGCAAGUGUUACCUCUCAUACCCUGGACACAAGAAGAUGGAACAUAUUAGAUUAAAGUAUUGCCGCUCCAAACUCUCCAGUCAUGCCUCUGGGCUCACAGUCACCAUGGAGACAGGAGAUGUCU
rnacentral:lncRNA from 1 species